UACGUAGGGUGCGAGCGUUGUCCGGAAUUAUUGGGCGUAAAGGGCCCGUAGGCGGUUUGUCGCGUCGGGAGUGAAAACUCAGGGCUUAACCCUGAGCCUGCUUCCGAUACGGGCAGACUAGAGGUAUGCAGGGGAGAACGGAAUUCCUGGUGUAGCGGUGAAAUGCGCAGAUAUCAGGAGGAACACCGGUGGCGAAGGCGGUUCUCUGGGCAUUACCUGACGCUGAGGAGCGAAAGUGUGGGGAGCGAACAGG
rnacentral:rRNA from 1 species